rnacentral:rRNA from 1 species
GAUGAACGCUGGCGGCGUGCCUAAUACAUGCAAGUCGAGCGAACAGACGAGGAGCUUGCUCCUCUGACGUUAGCGGCGGACGGGUGAGUAACACGUGGAUAACCUACCUAUAAGACUGGGAUAACUUCGGGAAACCGGAGCUAAUACCGGAUAAUAUAUUGAACCGCAUGGUUCAAUAGUGAAAGACGGUUUUGCUGUCACUUAUAGAUGGAUCCGCGCCGCAUUAGCUAGUUGGUAAGGUAACGGCUUACCAAGGCAACGAUGCGUAGCCGACCUGAGAGGGUGAUCGGCCACACUGGAACGGAGACACGGUCCAGACUCCUACGGGAGGCAGCAGUAGGGAAUCGUCCGCAAUGGGCGAAAGCCUGACGGAGCAACGCCGCGUGAGUGAUGAAGGUCUUCGGAUCGUAAAACUCUGUUAUGAGGGAAGAACAAAUGUGUAAGUAACUAUGCACGUCUUGACGGUACCUAAUCAGAAAGCCACGGCUAACUACGUG